AGCAAACCGUUGAAAAAGAGGAGUAGCUUAUACGAUGACAUCCAAGAGAGCAGCAGGUGGUGAGAUUGCUGUAUGAAAUUGAUAAGUGAAUGGACUUUUGAGGGCAGUCUGAAAUCAAGAACUUGUAUUUAUCAAUUGUUUGAGAGAGUAUGGCUUGUCGGGAACCGAACCCGUUAUCAAUCAGGAGUGUAUGUUAGUACAUGAGAAAGUGGACGAUUCGUCAAUUUGAGUGGUACCGCGAUAAUAAUAGAUAUUAUUACCGUCUCAAAC
rnacentral:ncRNA from 1 species